rnacentral:misc_RNA from 1 species
AACUUUUAAAGGUGGUAGAGGGCCUCCUAAGUUAGAGUUGGAGAGGUCGAUGGAAGUAAGGGAAUUGGUUAUAAGAACUAAUGUUGAACCAAGACUAAGGGAUGGUAUCGUGGUCGGACUAGGAAAAAAGGGCAGAAUUAGGGUCAAAAAGAGAGAGCCUAACUCGGUGGAGGUAAAGGCCUUCUUAGUUGAGAGAAAGGGAAGG